rnacentral:rRNA from 1 species
GACGAACGCUGGCGGCGUGCUUAACACAUGCCAGUCGAACGGAAAGGCCCUGCUUUUGUGGGGUGCUCGAGUGGCGAACGGGUGAGUAACACGUGAGUAACCUGCCCUUGACUUUGGGAUAACUUCAGGAAACUGGGGCUAAUACCGGCUAGGAGCUCCUGCUGCAUGGUGGGGGUUGGAAAGUUUCGGCGGUUGGGGAUGGACUCGCGGCUUAUCAGCUUGUUGGUGGGGUAGUGGCUUACCAAGGCUUUGACGGGUAGCCGGCCUGAGAGGGUGACCGGGCACAUUGGGACUGAGAGACGGCCCAGACGCCAAUGGGAGGCAGCAGUGGGGAAUAUUGCACAGUGGGCGGAAGCCUGAUGCAGCAGCGCCGCGUGCGGGAUGACGGCCUUCGGGUUGUAAACCGCUUUCGCCUGUGACGAAGCGUGAGUGACGGUAAUGGGUAAAGAAGCACCGGCUAACUACGUG